AGUGAACGCUGGCGGUAGGCCUAACACAUGCAAGUCGAACGGCAGCACAGUAAGAGCUUGCUCUUACGGGUGGCGAGUGGCGGACGGGUGAGGAAUACAUCGGAAUCUACUUUUUCGCGGGGGAUAACGUAGGGAAACUUACGCUAAUACCGCAUACGCCCUACGGGUGAAAGCAGGGGAUCUUCGGACCUUGCGCGAUUGAAUGAGCCGAUGUCGGAUUAGCUAGUUGGCGGGGUAAAGGCCCACCAAGGCGACGAUCCGUAGCUGGUCUGAGAGGAUGAUCAGCCACACUGGAACUGAGACACGGUCCAGACUCCUACGGGAGGCAGCAGUGGGGAAUAUUGGACAAUGGGCGCAAGCCUGAUCCAGCCAUACCGCGUGGGUGAAGAAGGCCUUCGGGUUGUAAAGCCCUUUUGUUGGGAGAGAAAAGCAGCAGGUUAAUACCCCGCUGUUCUGACGGUACCCAAAGAAUAAGCACCGGCUAACUUCGUG
rnacentral:rRNA from 1 species